GCCCGUAUAGCUCAGUCGGUAGAGCGCAAGGCUCUUAACCUUGUGGGCCUGGGUUUAAGUCCCAGGGUGGGCG
rfam:Ipomoea nil DNA, scaffold: scaffold3056, cultivar: Tokyo-kokei standard.